AAGCAGUGAUGCUGGGAACUCAGAGGAGCCUUCAGUGAAGAGGAGCCCUGGGCCUGGCCAUGAACACCGCGAGAAUGCAAAGCAUGUGACGUCUCACUUAGAGCUGAUGCAGAAGGGAAGUGACUCUGAAAUAUAGACCCUCUUGGCCUCUGGGGGAGAUUUAUGUGGCGAGCAUCACGCUCCUCAGAGAAAGACUGCAGGUGACUCUGAGGGGACCAGUGACAUCUGUCUCAGCCUGAAGGACGUGAGGAGGCUGAGGAAACCGUAACAUCAGCCAGAUCUUCACUGGAAGCUUACAACUUUGUUAACAAGAAAGUCAAGAUGCUCCUUCUCCUCCGUCGGCAGAAAUAGAGUACAAUAAGAAGCUCUCUUUGUGGAUCCAGUAUGUAUGAGGAUGUUAUCCUUG